rnacentral:rRNA from 1 species
UUCGUAGGCAGUGUGGCAAGUUGGGAGUGAAAUCUCUGGGCUCAACCCAGAGGCUGCUUCCAAAACUGCUGUGCUGGAGUGUGGGAGAGGCGCGUGGAAUUGCAGGUGUAGCGGUGAAAUGCGUAGAUAUCUGCAGGAACACCCGUGGCGAAAGCGGCGCGCUGGACCACAACUGACGCUGAGGAACGAAAGCUAGGGGAGCAAACAGGAUUAGAUACCCUGGUAGUCCUAGCCCUAAACGAUCAGGACUUGGGGUGCCGCCCGUUCGGGCGUCGUCCCGGAGCUAACGCGUUAAGUCCUGCACCUGGGGAGUACGGUCGCAAGACUGAA